GGCAGUGUGGUAUAGUGGUUUGAGUGCUGGAUUAUGACUCUAGAGACUAGGGUUUGAAUUCUUGUUUGGCCA